AAGCUCGUAGUUGAAUUUCGGGGUUCUACCGUUGGUCGGGCAAUAGUCUGUACUGGCGUGUAGAAUUUCUACCUUUUGGGGAACCAUCAUGUUAUUUAUUUAGCGUGGUGGGAAACCAGAACCUUUACCUUGAAAAAAUUAGAGUGUUCAAAGCAGGCUUACGUCUGAAUACAUUAGCAUGGAAUAAUAAAAUAGGACGGUGGUCCUGUUUUGUUGGUUUCUGAAUCACCGUAAUGAUUAAUAGGGAUAGUUGGG
rnacentral:rRNA from 1 species